CCUUAACUUAGGGGCAUACACAUGCAGUCGAGCGGUAACAGCGAGAAAGCUUGCUUUCUUGCUGACGAGCGGCGGACGGGUGAGUAAUGUAUGGGGAUCUGCCCGAUAAGGGGGGAUAACUACUGGAAACGGUGGCUAAUACCGCAUAAUGUCUACGGACCAAAGCAGGGGGCUCUUGGACCUUGCACUAUCGGAUGAACCCAUAUGGGAUUAGCUAGUAGGUGGGGUAAAGGCUCACCUAGGCGACGAUCUCUAGCUGGUCUGAGAGGAUGAUCAGCCACACUGGGACUGAGACACGGCCCAGACUCCUACGGGAGGCAGCAGUGGGGAAUAUUGCACAAUGGGCGCGCAAGCCUGAUGCAGCCAUGCCGCGUGCAUGAAGAAGGCCUUAGGGUUGUAAAGUACUUUCAGGGGAGGAAGGUGAUAAGGUUAAUACCCUUGUCAAUUGACGUUACCCGCAGAAGAAGCACCGGCUAACUCCGUGCCAGCAACGCGGUAAUACGGAGGGUGCAAGCUUAAUCGAAAUUACUGGGCGUAAAGCCCACGCAUGCGGUCAACUAAGUCAAAUGUGAAGAGUUUAAGCUUAACGUGGGAAUUGCCUGGGAACUGGUUGCCAGAUUUCUUGUCAAAAGGGGGGGGAGAAUUCCAACCUCCACCCGUAAAAUGGCCUACACAUUUACCGGAGGGAAACCCGGGGGAAAAGAACCCCUGUUUGCCCCAAAACUUUUUCUCCCGUGGACCAACAGUUUUUUGUCCCAGGGGGGCCCCCUUCCCCCCCGGUUUUCCCCCUGAUCCUCUCCGCAUUUUAACCGGUUUAGGGGGGAAUUUCCCCCCCCCUCGAGAAAACUCGGCUAAACAUUUUUCAAAGGGGAUUUCCC
rnacentral:rRNA from 1 species